GUCCAUGCUGUAAACGAUGAAGACUGGCUGUUGGGUGCCCUUGGGCACUUAGUAGCGAAGCUAAAGCGUUAAGUCUUCCGCCUGGGGAGUACGGCCGCAAGGUUAAAACUCAAAGGAAUUGACGGGGGCCCCGCACAAGCGGUGGAACAUGUGGUUUAAUUCGACGCAACGCGAAGAACCUUACCUACCCUUGACAUGCUCGGAAUCUGCCAGAGAUGGUGGAGUGCCUUCGGGAGCCGAGACACAGGUGCUGCAUGGCUGUCGU
rnacentral:rRNA from 1 species